GUGAGGAAUAUUGGUCAAUGGGCGGGAGCCUGAACCAGCCAAGUCGCGUGAGGGAAGAAGGAUCUAUGGUUCGUAAACUUCUUUUGCAGGGGAAUAAAGUGCAGGACGUGUCCUGUUUUGUAUGUACCCUGAGAAUAAGGAUCGGCUAACUCCGUGCCAGCAGCCGCGGUAAUACGGAGGAUCCGAGCGUUAUCCGGAUUUAUUGGGUUUAAAGAGUGCGUAGGUGGUUUGAUAAGUCAGCGGUGAAAGUUUGCAGCUUAACUGUAAAAAUGCCGUUGAAACUGUCGGACUUGAGUGUAAAUGAGGUAGGCGGAAUGCGUGGUGUAGCGGUGAAAUGCAUAGAUAUCACGCAGAACUCCGAUUGCGAAGGCAGCUUACUAAGCUACAACUGACACUGAAGCACGAAAGCGUGGGGAUCAAACAGGAUUAGAAACCCGAGUAGUCC
rnacentral:rRNA from 1 species